CCUACGGGUGGCAGCAGUGGGGAAUAUUGCGCAAUGGGCGAAAGCCUGACGCAGCGACGCCGCGUGAGGGAUGAAGGUCUUCGGAUCGUAAACCCCUGUCAGCAGGGAAGAACGGUCACUGUGCUAAUCAGCAGUGACUUGACGGUACCUGCAAAGGAAGCACCGGCUAACUCCGUGCCAGCAGCCGCGGUACUACGGAGGGUGCGAGCGUUAAUCGGAAUUACUGGGCGUAAAGCGCUCGUAGGCGGUAUGUCAAGUCAAGGGUGAAAUCCCCGCGCUCAACGUGGGAACUGCCUUUGAAACUGGCAAACUGGAGUGUGUGAGAGGAUAGUGGAAUUCCAGGUGUAGGAGUGAAAUCCGUAGAUAUCUGGAGGAACAUCAGUGGCGAAGGCGACUAUCUGGCACAUAACUGACGCUGAGGAGCGAAAGCGUGGGUAGCAAACAGGAUUAGAUACCCCGGUAGUC
rnacentral:rRNA from 1 species